GCGUACAGUCACACUACCUUGUGUUGUGAUCAGCAUGCAGUUCUCACAAGUUAAUCAGAGUCAGGCCAAUGUAUUUCUUGGAUGGGAGACCUUCAUAGAAAAUUUAGGUAUUGUAAGAG
rnacentral:rRNA from 1 species